rnacentral:lncRNA from 1 species
GUGGAGAGAUUGUUCCGAGCUGUUUUGAGAGGAUCCCCCGAGCUGGCGUGCACGCUUGCUCAGGACGUUUUAUGUUUGGCUCGGUCCCAGGUAGAUGGAAUCCGACCCCAACUGUUAGCCCCCCAGCUCGUUGUCUUGAGGAGCAAGUGACGAGCUUCACGAUUGUUAGUCCGAGCAGUUUAAACUUUGUUCCGAGCCUAUCCUUAUACGCCGAAGCUAUCAGAGAGUUUGAAUCCUUUGGAUUGAAUUCCCCUGACGAUUCGAAUCCCUUUGACGUUUCAUCUUCUUCUAGCGUGUGAUGGUUGAAUUUCCCUCUCGAAAAGUGGGAAAGUUUUUGCUUGUUCCCGAAAAUUUUGGCGGAUGUGAAACUAGCUCUGAGGCCACGCGCGCCCGACGCGCCGAAGCGUUCUAUAAAUACUUGUCUCGCGAUUCAUUU